CGCGGAGUUCUUCCAAGCUCCGACGGGAUGGCGAUCGUGACUAGGUCCGCCGCCUUGUAUCACACGAGCGUGUAUGUCCGUGCGACUCAAGGCGGCAGAACUAGCCACGGGCACCCUUCCAUCGGAGCUCGUCAGAAUGCCACGA
rfam:Ectocarpus siliculosus strain Ec 32, whole genome shotgun sequence assembly, chromosome LG04